GAUUACAGGGUGAGCCUGGAUUCCUAGGACCACAGGGAGAACCAGGGCUCCCAGGACUACCAGGAACCAAGGGUGAGCGAGGGGACCUGGGCCCACCAGGCAAAGGAGAGCGAGGCGAGACUGGACCGCCCGGUCAAAAGGGAGGGCCAGGAGAGGCAGGGAACCCAGGCCCUAGAGGUUCAAAGGGAGAAACAGGAGACAAGGGAGACCUGGGCUCCAUGGGACCAAGGG